CCUACGGGUGGCUGCAGUGGGGAAUAUUGGACAAUGUGCGAAAGCCUGAUCCAGCCAUGCCGCGUGUGUGAAGAAGGCCUUCGGGUUGUAAAGCACUUUCAGUGGGGAAGAAAGCCUUGGGGCUAAUACCCUCGAGGAAGGACAUCACCCACAGAAGAAGCACCGGCUAACUCCGUGCCAGCAGCCGCGGUAAUACGGAGGGUGCGAGCGUUAAUCGGAAUUACUGGGCGUAAAGCGCGCGUAGGCGGUCUGAUAAGCCGGUUGUGAAAGCCCCGGGCUCAACCUGGGAACGGCAUCCGGAACUGUCAGGCUAGAGUGCAGGAGAGGAAGGUAGAAUUCCCGGUGUAGCGGUGAGAUGCGUAGAGAUCGGGAGGAAUACCAGUGGCGAAGGCGGCCUUCUGGACUGACACUGACGCUGAGGUGCGAAAGCGUGGGUAGCAAACAGGAUUAGAUACCCGUGUAGUC
rnacentral:rRNA from 1 species